GAUGAACGCUGGCGGCGUGCCUAAUACAUGCAAGUCGAGCGAACAGACGAGGAGCUUGCUCCUCUGACGUUAGCGGCGGACGGGUGAGUAACACGUGGAUAACCUACCUAUAAGACUGGGAUAACUUCGGGAAACCGGAGCUAAUACCGGAUAAUAUAUUGAACCGCAUGGUUCAAUAGUGAAAGACGGUUUUGCUGUCACUUAUAGAUGGAUCCGCGCCGCAUUAGCUAGUUGGUAAGGUAACGGCUUACCAAGGCAACGAUGCGUAGCCGACCUGAGAGGGUGAUCGGCCACACUGGAACUGAGACACGGUCCAGACUCCUACGGGAGGCAGCAGCAGGGAAUCUUCCGCAAUGGGCGAAAGCCUGACGGAGCAACGCCGCGUGAGUGAUGAAGGUCUUCGGAUCGUAAAACUCUGUUAUUAGGGAAGAACAAAUGUGUAAGUAACUAUGCACGUCUUGACGGUACCGAAGCAGAAAGCCACGGCUAACUACGU
rnacentral:rRNA from 1 species